GUUACGAAAAUUGUGCCGGCGUUAAAUGAUAUGUAAAUUUAAACGGAAAUCCAGCCGAUGUUCAUGGCAUGCCUUGGAUACCGGAAAUGCUUGUAAUAAGAACAGAGAAAAACUCGGAAACAAUAACAACGCUAACAAUUAAAGACUAAAGAAGACAAAACGAAAAUAA